CAAACAUAAUGCAACACGGUGACAUCGCGCUAUUGCGCCAUUUUGCGACUACUUGGCGGUCUUUUUUGGAUCGGCAGGCAUCAGUUUAUCAGGCGGCCUGCGGUGCACUUACAGCUCAAACUGUGAAGCCAUAUUGUUGUAAGGUUGAUGAAAAAUGAGGUCAUGGCCUGUUUCAGUAUGAAGUGGGGGAAGGGGAAGCUUGCUUUCACCAAGAUCAAUCUGUACACUGUUGUCACAGAGAGUGUCCAGAAAACAUCAAAAGAGACGGGGCAAAUACUGCAGCAGCCACUGCCUUUUGUUUAAAAUAUGCCCCAGCAGAGCCGUCGCAAGGAGGGUGAGAGGCCCUGUGCAAAGUUGAUGUGCGAGGCCCUCUACAAUUUUGCGUGUGUGUGUGUGUGGUGGGGGAGGUUGCUGUAGCAAGGCAAGGCAAGUUUAUUUAUAUAGCAAAUUUCGAACAAAAUGGUAAUUCAAAGUGCUUUACAUAAAAUGAAGUAAAAUAAUCAUGAAGAACAAAAGUAAAACAAGCAAUUUUAAAACUUUGGAAAUUAUUUAAAAAUUGACUUGAAUUUAAAACAGUUAGAAAUAGAAAAUGAUCUUACAGUUAAUACAUAAAAUACAGUGCAAUCAGGUCGGACAUCGCACAGUGCUCAUUCAAUAAAUGCACAGCUAAACAGAUGAGUUUUGAGUCUAGAUUUAAAUGUGACUAGUGUUUUAGCACAUCUGAUCUCUUCUGGAGGCUGAUUCUGGAAGCAAUGUAUUUUGGUCCUAGGUCUUUGAGUGACUUCUAGACAAGUAGAAGUACUUUAAAAUCAAUCUUAAAUGUAACUGGAAGUUAAUGAGGACUGGUGUGAUAUGCUCAGAUGUUCUAGUCAGAAUCCUGGCAGCAGUGUUCUGGAUGAGCUGCAGCUGUCUAAUGGUCUUUUUGGGAAGGCCGGUGAGGAGCCCAUUACAAUAGUCCACCCUGCUGGUGAUAAAGGCAUGAACAAGUUUCUCCAAGUCUUGGCUGGAAACAAAACAUCUUAUUCUUGCAAUGUUUUUUAAAUGAUAGUAUGCUGAUUUAGUUACUGCUUUGACAUGACUACUGAAACUAAGGUCUGUCUCCAGAAUCACACCACGUUUCCUGUCUUGAUUUUUAGUUGUUAGACCCCUAGAGUCAAAGUAUGCAUUCACCUUAAAAACUUCAUCUUUGUUUCCAAAUGCAAUGACUUCAGUUUUUUCCUUGUUUAACUGAAGAAAGUUCUGGCACAUCCAGCUAUUAAUUUCAUCAAUGCAUUGGCAGAGGGAGUCAGUGGGGCUGUAUUCAUUUGGAGAUAAGGCUAGGUAAAUCUGGGUAUCAUCAGCAUAGCUGUAAUAGGCAAUUAGGUUCUUUCUCAUUAUUUUACUUAGAGGAAGCAUAUACAGGCUAAACAAGAGCGGUGCAAGAAUUGAACCUUGUGGGUCUCCGCAUAUCAUGGAUGUCUACUUAGACUUAUGCUCUCCUAGACUCACAUAAUGAUCGCUCCUUUUUAAGUAUGACCUGAACCAUUUGAGUACCAUCCCAGAAAGCCCGACCCAGUUUUCCAGUCUCUCUAGUAGUAUGUUAUGAUCGACAGUGUCAAACGCAGCACUGAGAUCUAGCAAUACCAGCACUGAUAUAUUGCCAGAGUCACAAUUUAAGUUAAUAUCAUUUAUUAUCUUAAUGAGUGCUGUCUCUGUGCUGUGAUGCGGUCUGAAACCAGAUGUUUAAGUGUUUAUUCAGCUGAUUAAAAACUACCUUUUCUAUAAUUUUGCCUAUAAAAGGAAGAUUAGAUAUUGGUCUAUAAUUGCUCAAAAUGGUGUUAUCAAGAUUGCUCUUUUUCAGGAGGGGCUUAACAACUGCAGUUUUCAGGGAGUUUGGAAAAGUCCCAGAGAGAGAUUUACUUCUAAACAGUUAAGCACACUUUUGAAAAAAGAUGUGGGAAGUGUGUCAAUAUAGCAAGUUGAUGAUUUUAGUUGCUGCACUAUGUCUUCCAAAAUGUUGUUUGUUUUCUUACUGACUAUUAUUGGAGCAAUAUCAUUAAUAACAUUCUUAACUUUUGAGUUGAAGGAAUCAAGGAGAAUAUCAACAGAGUCGGCAAAAAAUACUUGGUGUUAAAGAUAUGGCCUCCGUAAAUAGUACACUAGUGUUCUUGUUAGGGCUGCACUAUUAAUUGCAUGCAAUUGUCAUGCAUGUCUCGUCAGUAAAGCUGGUUCUGUGAUUAGCGGUGAUUAGCGGUUGAUGUCAAUAACCUGCUUUCAAAUGGAGCCGCACUUAAAAGACAGAGCCGUAGUUCGCUGACAAGCUAUGCAAUAUCGCGUUCAUAACCGCAUGAGAUUCUUCUGCGAUUUUGAACGCAAUAAUGCACCACUUGUCAGCGAACUACGGCUCUGGUUAUUAAGUGCGGCUACAUUUGAAAGCAUAUCCUUCUGACAGAGACAGUUCUAGAGUAAGUGGUAGCAGAGAUCAAUAUAUCAAAGAAAAUACAGAAGUGAUCAGAUAGUACUACGUCCUUAAUAACAAUGAAUGAAAUGUUUAGAGCCCUACUGAUGAUUAGAUCCAGAGUGUGUCCACCUUUGUGUGUGGGUCCAUGCACAUGCUGAAUCAAGUCAAAGGUAUUUAGAACUGUUAUCAUUUCUUUUGUAGUUUUGUUUUCUGCAUUGUCUAUGUGAAAAUUAAAAUCCCCUGCAUUAGCAAAACAGUCAAACUCUGAGGAAAUCAUUGAUAACGUUUCUGUUACCUCAACAAAUGCUGAAGAGUAUUUUGGAGGCCUGUAAAUAAUAAUAAAAAGAAUGUGUUGAGCACCUUUUAGCACAAUCCCUAAAUAUUCAAAAGACAAGUCAUGACCAAAUGACACUUGUUUGCAUUGAUAGACAUCUUUAAAAAAGCAGCUCCACCUCCACCUCUCCUAACAGUCCUGCAAACACUCAUGGAAGUGAAGUUAGGAAGGACUGCUUCAUUGAGGACUGUUGAACUGCAGCUGUCCUCUAGCCAUGUUUCAUUUAGAAACAUAAAAUCCUAAUUGUUUGUGGUUAUAAAGUCAUUGAUUACAAAAUGAUUAAAUUUUUUAGUGAGCGAAUGUUUAAAGAUGCUAACUUGAUGGCAGUGCUUUAUGUCAUUACAUCAGUUUUAGUUUGAUGCAUAUUAGAUGAGUUUGCCCUUCGGCUUAAGAUGGCCUUAAACUUUCUGUCACAUGAUAAAAGUGAAAUCGAGAAAGCUACAGGCACACUGGGUUCCCACUUGUUCUUUAAACAUUUGUGAAUGUUGCGGUUAUUAUAGCAGGGACCCGACACAUAUCACUGAGAGCUUCUAUCAGUUGUUUUUGGUUCACCUUCAGCAGAUUGAGGGUUUGGGGCCUGCUGUUGCUGCAGCGGUCUGAGAGCUCUCACAGGAGCAGGGCCCCCAGGCUUUGAUGUUUUGGGACCCUGCUGUUUUCUUGUUGACAUUUGCGGGCUUGCAGCGAAUGAGUGAGAGAGUUUAGUCCAAGCAUACACCAAUUCUACCAUUUUCAGUGAAAAGCACAGAAGUGGAGAUGCUGGAGAGAGGAAUAAUGUGUCUGGUGAGAUGGGUUGUGUCUCUGGUGUUUCUUGUGGCUGUGAUAUGUUGUCUUGGCUUCCCCGGCUGUCUUCAAGAAAGUCAUCCUUGAGUGCUGAGUCUUGUAUCUGUUUUGAUACAUCACAGUCUGUCUGUGAGGAGCUCUGAGGGCAGGUCUCUUCCGGGAUGGUGUCCAUCAGCAGUGCUUUUUGUGGCUGCAUGGUGUUAUCAGUUGGGAGUGGUCCACUGAUGAACGACUGAACUUGGAGUCUUCAAAGUGUUUGAAAGAGUUCACUGAAGUCCUUCUUAAGGAUGUUUGACUGCUUUUUGAGAGUAUCAUUCUUCCCCACAUGGAUUGAUAAUUAGAUUUGUAGUCUUGUGCUUCAUUUUCUGAAGUUCCUUGUUCACAUAAGAGACCGUUGCUUGGGGAAGGCAGCAUGUUAUUGUAGUCCUGCUACGGAUGUUUCUGAUAAUAGAGUCACCCACUAUCAGAGUCCUAGGCUCGGCUACGCUCUGAGCUGAAUGUCACUGUCUGUUAGUAACGGUGUUAGCUGCUAAUCACAUUUGGGGAUUCCUCACCCGCAUUCAUUAAUUCUUCAAAUCUGUUUUCAAGAUGUAUAGUGGGAGGUAGAAUACUGGUAUUUACAAGCCUUGUCAUAGUUGAAUCUGGGGUAGAGAAAGCUACGGCAGCAAUACGAGAAACUCAUGACAAUCUGAUGUCUUGUGUUCCUCUGGGUCUUGCACCCUGUUUGUGCCAUCGAUUAGUGUGAUGAUCCAUUUCGGCUUGUUCCUCUACACUUGGUACAAACUGUUGAGAUUCAGAAGAUUCAUGGGACUCACCGGCUGUAUGCUGAGAGGGUCCAUGACGACAGUCUGCUGAGUGUUUCGCCUGUUUUGGAAGUCCAGCAAGUAACUUUGUUUCAAGAAUCACAAUUCUUUGUAGAAGUUUGCAGCAGUUCAUGCAACAAGUAGAUCCAACAGGAGGCAUUUUCUCUCUCUUCCAUUUGAAUGUAGGCAGUUGUUUUCCCAUCUCCAGAAUGUAAGCUGCUGGCAGUGGGAGGCAAAGUCUUCUUUUGUAGUAUUAUUCCAGUCAAAAAAAGUUUUUAGUUUUAGCGUUUGUGCCAAAAAUAUUUUGUUUGAGCACUGUGCUGAUCUGCUGAAGUAAAAAAUCGUAGAAAAAACUGAGAAAAGUACAGAAAUAAUAAGCGAAGCGCAGAACAGUAGGCUAGAACGUCCGAACGGUAGCAAAGCCAGAACCGCAACAAACUCAACUUUAACAUGCAUCUGUUCGAUUGUGAUGCCUUGCUCACUGACAUGCUUGCGCACAAAUCAUGGCCACGCACUAGCUCAUAAGGAUCUACAAUCAUAAUUAUAAUAAGUUAAUAAGAAUGCUUAAAUUAGUUCUAGGCUUGUAGACAGUUAUAUAUGAAGAGUUCAGAUGGAAAGUGCGAUCCAACAUUUUCUUCUAAAAUAAUUAUUUUCUCAUCUUCCUAUGUUUAUGUUCAGUAUUUCACUUUAUUGGGAAAGAAAAGAAACUGUUUAUUGCUAUUAAAGUGAAAUUAAACGGUACUAGGUUUUUGCAGCUGAAUUUUACAUCUAAAAUCAAUUUGCACUAUUUGAAAAUAAUAUUUUCUUUUAAAAUGUGAACUCUCACUCUUAUUCGUAUGUUUAAUAGUCGAAAACGCAAAUGUCUAUUGUCACAUUUAUUUUAUGUUUUACAUGAAUCAUUAACCUAUCGCAUUUUUUCAAUUCAAAAGGGCGAAAUUUCAUAAAAGGUUGAGUAGUUUGCAUCUCUAGAUAGUCUAUUAUGUUUGGUCGCUGAACAUUUCAAUCAUAAAACAGUUCUCUAAUACCGUAGGCUACUGCUUACAUUUUUCCACAAACUCUAGUUAUGUUGUGACAGUAAGACCCACAUUCUUUGAUAUGAUUGGCCAUCUCGACCACUGAGGCAGACCAGCCUAGAGCCUUGCACGGACCUCAAAUUUAAGCCCUAUCCCUAGACCUAGAUUUUUUUUUUAAUGGCCAAGCGGCCAGUGCCAGACAGUGAACCUAUGGAUCAGUUUAGCCUUCUUAAAUCAUCACGACUUGCCUAAAAUAAAAUCUAUAGAUAUAUAAAACAGUUCAAGUAUGUUUAAGAAUUAAACCUAGAUAAAUGUGCGCUAUAUCCAGUAGUUUGUGCGGAGAGUGCAAGCAAAAGCGUGCUGGCCAGUGCAAUCACUUGCAUUUUUUUCAGUGGAUAUGCAGUAAUUUUUGCUCAUAAAGGUAAGAGUAAUACAUCAUUCGUAAUUGUAAAUUGUCUACUUUUAUUUGUGUGCAAUCACAUUAUCAACAAAUCGUUGUGCUUUUAUAAAAAAAAAAAGAAAAUAGUCAUGAUGCGCUUUCUACCGUCUCGUCUUGAACAGGAGCACUUAACAAAAAUGAACCAAAGCUCAGUGAAUACAUGACUCACGGACGUGACAAAUAUAUCUAUAGAAAACUUUAAAUGACUACUUUCAUUUACAGAAUACAACACAUCAGAAACAAAAACUCAUUCAUUAUAAAGAUAAUCCAUAAAGAUGAACUUUUCUCUUAAGGCUUGUAAAAUUAAGAGUUGGCGAGUCAGGAUUAGCAACAUCAUCCUUGCUACACCAACUCAGAAAACUAUUUAUUAGUAAAUAAUUCAAUCUCAUUCCUAUUUACCCCAUGACUCAUUUAUGGUAAUAAUUUUUUGAAGAUGCUUUAUGUCAAGCUUAAGCCUAUUGCGUGCAUUUAAAAGCAGAACACUGUGAUGCUGCGGGACACUUAACACUGUUAAGCCGCUAUUGACAGUCAUGUUAGCACGGUCUCGUGUUGUUUCCCUCAGUGCGGCAAUUUUUUCAUCACUAAUUGAUGGAUGUCUUAAAUAUAAAAAUAAGGAGAAGCCUUAAACAGGCCUAAGGACAGCCCGCAUCUGAACUAUGAUGUGGAAAUUGGCCCGAAACCCGGCCUGGAGUGUAAAAAAAGUCAGGGUGAAAUGCAGGGCUCUAGACCAUUUAAAAGUUAAACUUUAUAACUUUUUGUCGUCCUAUCAACAAACAGCUUUACUCAUUCUUAUACUUAGAGUCUUGUACUGUCUAUCCGCUAUGACUAUUUUAGUCUACCAAAGGACAAGAUGGGUGGAAAAAAUAGUAAUAAAAAUGAGAUAUAAAUGACAUAAAAUGCAGGCCAGGAGCGAGGCCCUCUAGAGGUGUGAGGCCUAGUGAAGUUGCACGCUUUGCACAGCCCUUGCGACGUUACUGUGCACCAGACAGGGUGGGUGGAGGUGGCAGGAAAAAAAGAAAGAUGUUAAUAAAAUGUAUGUUUUCAAAACUAUUCAGUUCCAAUAAUGUUGAUGUUAAAAUGUAAUUAUUUUGUAAAUGUUCUGUUCCAUGUUAAAUGUAAAUGAUACAACAUGUGAAUAAAUAAAUCAUAUUUGUUAUAAUCCA